GAUGAACGCUGGCGGCGUGCCUAACACAUGCAAGUCGAGCGGAGGGACUGAGAGCACUUGUGCUUUUGGAAACUUAGCGGCGGACGGGUGAGUAACACGUGAGCAAUCUGCCUUUUGCCGGGGAAUAACACUGGGAAACCAGUGCUAAUACCGCAUAACAUCCAAGUACGGCAUCGUACAUGGAUCAAAGGAGCAAUCCAGCAAAAGAUGAGCUCGCGUCCGAUUAGGUAGUUGGUGAGGUAACGGCUCACCAAGCCCACGAUCGGUAGCCGGACUGAGAGGUUGAACGGCCACAUUGGGACUGAGACACGGCCCAGACUCCUACGGGAGGCAGCAGUGGGGAAUAUUGGGCAAUGGGGGAAACCCUGACCCAGCAACGCCGCGUGAAGGAUGAAGGCUUUCGGGUUGUAAACUUCUUUGAUCAGGGACGAACAAAUGACGGUACCUGAAGAACAAGCCACGGCUAACUACGUGCCAGCAGCCGCGGUAAUACGUCUA
rnacentral:rRNA from 1 species